rnacentral:lncRNA from 1 species
AAUCGCUCCCAGCCUGGGAAGAAGCCUCCCACGCCAGGGCCCCGGACCCAGGAGAGGCCAUGGAAAGCCUGAACCCCAGCUGGCUGACACCCCCCACACCCCCAAGGGCCCUUAGUCUGAGACCAACUCUCCUGGACACCAGGGGCCCACGCAGGCCCUCCGUGCCCCAGUUACCUGUGCCCUGGAGGCAGCCACGGAGUCACGACCACGCGGGGGACGCCAGCCCACAGGCGGAGGCCGGUUUCGAGGCGGCUGGCAGCCGCCCCCCCACCCCAUGCCCUUUGGGUGGCACCUGUGCUGGUGGAGUGGGGGUGGCUGGCUUUGCACACAGGCCUGCUCCUGUACCGUGCUGCGACAGCCAUGAAGGAAGAACCUGGCUGAGUCUCCACCUGCCGUGGACUGUACCAGGUUUGGGGAGGCCAGGCACUGCUAAGGGUCAGUCUGCCCAGACCAGUGUGGACACACCAAGUGCCUGCGAGCCCCUGGGAGCUGCCCGUGCCAGGCUGGAGUGCCGGGGAGGGGCGAGGACAGCUGCAGCCCCGAGAUGUAAACAGGCUUGCAGGUAUAAAAGCUGGAGCCCCUGGGCCUCUCCACACCCCAGCCUGACCCACCUUCCAGAACUCUCGAAAGAAGCCAGGCAGAGGAGGAUCCAGCACCACGCGGCGUCUACGUCUGCUCUGGCCCAAGCAGCACCCCCAAUCCGUGCGUGCACCCCACGAAUUGACUCCCUAUCCACCCAGGACCAGGAUGGAGGAGGACUUCUCCUCCCAGAUGAAGAAGAUGGCCUUGGCCAUGGGCACGUCCCUAUCAGACAAGGACAUUGAGCUGCUGCCCACAGACAUGAGACACCACGGGUCCUUCAACUACCUCAAGUUCUUCAAGCACAUCCGCAAGCUCCACGCCUCGGGCCAGCUGGACGACGCCAUCCACACGGCCUUCCAGUCCCUGGACAAGGACAAGAGUGGCUUCAUUGAGUGGAACGAGAUCAAGUAAUGGCUGGCGGCCACGGAGGGGUGGGGCCCAGGCCACCCAGACCACGCCGAAUGCCCACAUGGCGGACCCGGCCUUCCCCCACCGGGUCCCCGCUGGCCUUGCAGCUGGCAGGGCUGGGCCAGAACCAGCUAGAAGCCCAGGAGGCUCAGAGGCCCAGGCUCCCGGCCCGAAGUGCCCUUGCCUACAAGGUGGGGGGCGAACGGCUCGUGAGUCACUGGGCACUGGCCGGAAGCCCCUUGGCCCUGACUCGAGCCCCCUUGGCCCCAGGUACAUCCUGUCCAUCAUCCCCAGCAGCGGGCCCACCACCCCGCUGACAGACGAGGAGGCCGAGGCCAUGAUCCAGGCGGCAGACACACACGGGGACGGGAGGAUCAACUACGAAGGAUUUUCUGAAUUGAUCAAAAAGGAGAAAAUUCCAAAGAAGAAGUAGCACCAUGACUAGCCCUGGCCAGCCAAGGGGCUCCCAUGGGGUAACCGGGGUGACCACGCACCUGGGCAGAAGCCGUUGGGGCCGGUAAGAGGCGGCAGCCGUGAGGGUGGACCCAGCUUUUGAAGGAAAAUGGAAGAAAAGCAGCAUUAAGUGA